rnacentral:misc_RNA from 1 species
GCUCUCCCAGCUGAGCUACGGCCCCUAAAUCAGAAUAAAGCGUUUAAAACGAUCAAAAGAGGGAUUACAAAAUCUAUAUAACUCAAAGCGAUAUGAUUGAACCGAUAGUUUCAUAUAGGCAUUGACGUCUAUGAGCAUUUGGAAUUUAUAUCAACCAAAUGGACGCUGUAAAAAUCACUUUGCAAGGAAUUUUGACUCCUUAGUAUUUAGCAUUUGAACUGUUUUUUUGCCAUUAAUUUGCUUUAACUUUGGAUUACUCACACAAAAGCAAUAAGCCUGCCAAUUUUGAUAAGCUUUUUAGAAGCAAUCUUUUUAGAAGUACUUAUUUUUUAAAAGCACUUAUGAAAGUAAUGGAUAAACUGGUGGGCCUGGGAGGACUUGAACCUCCGACCUCACGCUUAUCAAGCGCGCGCUCUAACCAACUGAGCUACAAGCCCUCCGGGAUAAACCGGAAAACCUUCCCCGGCAUCCUCUUAUAAAACGCUUAAAUUUUAUCAAGGAAAGCGUUUUUCAAAGCCCACGGUGGACUUGUUUUGUCUAGAUCGCCAGAAGGCUUGGGA